UACGGCCACAUCCCAUUGAAACUCUGGUUCCCAUAUGAUCACCUAAGUUAAGCAACGUCGAACCUGGUUAAUAUCUAGAUGGGUGACCACUUGGGAAUACCAGGCA